rnacentral:rRNA from 1 species
AUUGAACGCUGGCGGUAUGCUUAACACAUGCAAGUCGAACGGUAGCAGGCCUUCGGGCGCUGACGAGUGGCGGACGGGUGAGUAACGCGUAGGAAUCUGCCUCAUAGUGGGGGACAACGUGGGGAAACUCACGCUAAUACCGCAUACGCCCUACGGGGGAAAGCGGGGGCUCUUCGGACCUCGCGCUAUGAGAUGAGCCUGCGUUAGAUUAGCUAGUUGGUAGGGUAAAAGCCUACCAAGGCGACGAUCUAUAGCUGGUCUGAGAGGACGAUCGGCCACACUGGGACUGAGACACGGCCCAGGAUCCUACGGGAGGCAGGAGUGGGGAAUAUUGGACAAUGGGCGCAAGCCUGAUCCAGCAAUACCGCGUGUGGGAAGAAGGCCCUAGGGUUGUAAAGCACUUUCAAUUGGGAGGAAAACCUGCCGGUCAAUACCCGGCAGCUUGACAUUACCUUUAGAAGAAGCACCGGCUAACUCCGUGCCAGCCGCCGCCGUAACAC